ACUCCUACGGGAGGCAGCAGUGGGGAAUAUUGCACAAUGGGCGCAAGCCUGAUGCAGCCAUGCCGCGUGUGUGAAGAAGGCCUUCGGUUGUAAAGCACUUUCAGUCGUGAGGAAGGUGGUAGUGUUAAUAGCACUAUCAUUUGACGUUAGCGACAGAAGAAGCACCGGCUAACUCCGUGCCAGCAGCCGCGGUAAUACGGAGGGUGCGAGCGUUAAUCGGAAUUACUGGGCGUAAAGCGCAUGCAGGUGGUUUGUUAAGUCAGAUGUGAAAGCCCGGGGCUCAACCUCGGAAUUGCAUUUGAAACUGGCAGACUAGAGUACUGUAGAGGGGGUAGAAUUUCAGGUGUAGCGGUGAAAUGCGUAGAGAUCUGAAGGAAUACCGGUGGCGAAGGCGGCCCCCUGGACAGAUACUGACACUCAGAUGCGAAAGCUGGGGAGCAAACAGGAUUAGAUACCCUGGUAGCACAGAG
rnacentral:rRNA from 1 species